rnacentral:lncRNA from 1 species
AUGCUCUCCAUGGCGAUGAAGUGGGCCAGGUGGAGAAGGAAGAAGAGCUGGUUACUCUUGAACAGGUUCAUGACCUCAGCAGUCUUCCUCAGGGCCCAGAAGUCCUCAAUGAUCUGGGAAUUUGUCGCGGUCCUGGCUGGGCUCCUCAGAAACCAGCUCACCAAUCAACAGGGGCUUCAUGAACUUGAGCACAAAACCGAAGUUGCGGUGGAAGGCCAGGAAGGCGUCUGUAGCAUCUUCCCCGGCAUAGUGCCCGAUGACCCGCUGGCCCUCCGGGUGCCGGCUGGACCAUUUGGUGAUGUUGUAGACCUUGCGAUUGAUGACCAGCCACUUGUCGGUACGCAGGUUGUGCUUCUGAAUCUCCUCCCAUUGGAAGGUGCAGAUAGACUCAUGGAAAUAUCUAAGAACAGUGGGAGAAAGCAGUGUGAAAGAAGAAAAAGAACAGUACAAACGUAAUAAGGGUCACAAUUUUUAAAGACAAAUGGGGGUGUGGACAUACAUUAAAAUAUGCAACUUUAUCCUGAUUUACAAAACUUUCAUAAAUUCAGUGUGAGAUGUAAAUAUAAGAGAAGCUGACAAAAUUUUAUACCAAACAAACAAAAGCAAAUCAAACACCUCACUCUAACCCUGCUCAGUCCACCGUACGGAUCCUCCCAGCAGUCACUGACCGCAGCUUUGCAUGUGUCCCCAAACUGCAGCAGAGUUUUUUUUCUGAGAAGCUAAGCAGCAGAGUACAUUAUGUGCCCAUAAUCAUAUGCUCCCAAGUACAAAAUGUUAAGUCAAUGAUUAACCUACCAAAGCACUUUUUUGGAAAGAUAGGCAGACUUCAAGGAUUUCAAAAAUCUUUCUUGUAACCCCUGAUCUGGCCUACAUCUUGGGAAAAGGGGUAUGAGGUACAAGGAGGGGCAUUUCCCUUUGUGGGAGCCCAGGAACCCCUGCACUGACCAGCUGUCCACCCCACCCCAGCCAAGAUGGUCAGAGCCCAAUGCAGUGAGCAUGCAGGAAAGGGUUAUAUCUCCUUUGCAAGCAGUUGUCUUUUUCCUGGCAAACAAGCUAGGUGCCAGAAACUUUACCCAGACGGGGAGGAAAAGAGAGGAGAGGAAGCAGAAGGGGAGGGGGAGGGCACGAAGGAAGAAAAUAGAAUCAUCAGGGAAAAAAAAAAAUGAAAGAUGAGGUCAAGAUGAUUACAGUUUGAAACAACUUCAGAACAGUUACAUAUUUUUUCAAAGCAUUUAAAGCCUCUCAAAGCUCUCAAAAGGUACAAGCCUGCAGGGAGGUGACUUCCCUCAGCCUUGAAAUCUUUCACUCAGCUGUACAAAAACAGAAAAGAGAUCUCAGACUCAGAAGUUACAGAAGUACAUGUGCAAGCACUAUUGCUGGUUGCAUUUCAUUUCUUUGUCUAAACAGAAACUGUUCUUGCAAGUUACCACCAACCCCAGGACACCUUGCAAGUGCACUUCCCAGGGCUUACAUCAUCCCGUGCUUUCAUUACACCUGUUUCUUUCUACUUGUCACACAUUCCUCUCCCUUUCCCCUGAACAACGGAGAUACCAUUUCCAAGUUCCUUAAUUAAAUCUUAUUUUAUCUUGCAACUAUCAGGAAAAAAAAACAAAGUCAUCCAGGGUCAUCUCUUGAAGGUUGAGAAGCCUGAGCCACCCACCUGCUCCUGCUUGUCAAAAUUAAAUCUGCCAAGUGCUGAGUUGCUUGAAAAUGUCCUGUUAAGUCAUUUAAAGACAUAGCUCUUCAUAUAUCUAGCAAGGCAUAUCCUUAAUUUGAGACAUAUGCCUUGCCACAAUCACAGAACCUUUCCACCAAAUGUUUUCUUUAAAAAUAUAAUAAGUUCCCAUCUGAAAAUGUUAUUAUCCAUGUUUCGUCUUCAUAUUUCUUAUUUCCGUAACAAAGUAUUCUUGCACCUAAUGAACCAUGAAAUCUUUAACAGAAAAGGAUGUUUUUUGAGGAAUAACUGGCAUAACAUUGUCUAGCUUCAGGUGUACAACAUAAUGAUUUAAUACUUGUAUAUAUUAUUAUUUUUAUAACAGCCAUCCUGAUCAGUGUGGGGUAGUGUCUCGAGGAGCUUGCCACCUGUUUUCUUCCAGGAGUUUUAUGGCUUAAGGUUUCACAUCCAAGUCUUGAAUCCAUUUUGAGUUAAAGUUUGUGUAUGGUGUAAGGUAGUGGUCCAGUUUUUCUAUUACCAUUUACUGAAAAGACUAUCCUUUCUCCCCAGCACAUCCUUGGCUCCUUUGUUUUCAAUCACUUGACCACAGAGGCAUGGGCUUUUUUUCUGGGUUCUCUAUUCUGUACCAUUGAUCUAUGUGUCUGUGCUUUUGUUUUGUUGCCAAUACCAUGCUGUUUUGAUUACUGUAGCUUUGUAAUAUAGCUUGAAAUCAAGAAGCAUGAUACCUCCAGCUUUGUUCUUUCUCAUGAUUGUUUUGACUAUCUGGGAGUCUUAGUGGUUCCAUACAACUUUUAGGAUUGUUUGUUCUAUAUCUAUGAAAAACUCAAUUGAAAGUUUGAUAGAGAGUGCAUUGAAUCUGUAGGUUGCUUUGGGCAGUAUGAACAAUUUUACAAUAAUUAUUCUUCCAAUCCAAAGCAUAUAGUUCCACUGAUGUAUACCUUCAGUUCCUUUCAUCAGUGUCUUAUAGUUUUCCUACAAUGAGGUAUCGCUCACACAGGUCAGAAUAACCAUCAUCAAAAGGUCUACAAACAAUAAAUACUGGAGAAGAUGUGGAGAAAAGGGAAUCCUCUUGCACUGUUGGUGGGAAUGUAAAUUGAUACAGCCACUAUGGAAGACACUAUGGAAAUUCCUUUAAAAACUAGGAAUAAAACCGCCAUAUGACCCAGAAAUCCCCCUCCUAUGCAUAUACCCUGAGGAAACCGAAACUGAAAAAGACUCAUGAACCCUAAUGUUCACUGCAGCACUAUUUACAAUAGCUAGAACAUGGGGGCAACCUAGAUGUCCACUGACAGAUGAAUGGAUAAAGCUGCAAUACGUGUAUACAAUGGAAUAUUACCCAGCCAUAAAAGUGAAUGCAUUUGAGUCUGUUCUAAUGAGGUGGAUGAACCUAGAACCUAUUAUAGAGAGUGACAUAACUCAGAAAGAGAAAGACAAAUAUCAUAUACUAACACAUAUAUAUGGAAUCUACAAAGAUGGUACUGAUGAAAUUAUAUACAGGAAAGCAAUGGAGACAUAGACAUUGAGAACAGACUUAUGAACACAGAGUGGAGGGGAGGAAGGAGAGGCUGGGUUGUAUGAAGAGAGUAACAUGGAAACAUACAUUACCAUAUGUAAAAUAGAUAGCCAAUGGGAAUUUGCUGUAUAGCUCAGGGAACUCAAACAGGAGCUCUGUGACAACCGAGGGUGGGAGAGGAGGGAGGUGGGCGAGAAGUUGAAGCGGGAGAGGACAUGAGUAUACCUAUGGCUGAUUCAUGUUGAUGGUUAGCAGAAACCAACACAAUACUGUAAAGGAAACAUCCUUCAAUUAAAAAUAAAUAAAGUUGAAAAAUAUAUCUUAUAGUUUUCAGAGUACAGAUCUUCCACCUUCUGGAUUAAAUUUAUUCCUGGC